rnacentral:rRNA from 1 species
UGAGGAAUAUUGGUCAAUGGGCGAGAGCCUGAACCAGCCAAGUCGCGUGAAGGAUGACUGUCUUAUGGAUUGUAAACUUCUUUUAUACGGGAAUAACAAGAGUCACGUGUGACUCCCUGCAUGUACCGUAUGAAUAAGCAUCGGCUAACUCCGUGCCAGCAGCCGCGGUAAUACGGAGGAUGCGAGCGUUAUCCGGAUUUAUUGGGUUUAAAGGGUGCGUAGGCGGCCUGUUAAGUCAGCGGUGAAAUCUAGGAGCUUAACUCCUAAAUUGCCAUUGAUACUGGCGGGCUUGAGUGUAGAUGAGGUAGGCGGAAUGCGUGGUGUAGCGGUGGGAUGCAUAGAUAUCACGCAGAACUCCGAUUGCGAAGGCAGCUUACUAAGGUACAACUGACGCUGAAGCACGAAAGCGUGGGUAUCAAACAGGAUUAGAUACCCUGGUAGUCCACGCAGUAAACGAUGAUAACUGGGCGUAUGCGAUAUACAGUAUGCUCCUAAGCGAAAGCGUUAAGUUAUCCACCUGGGGAGUACGCCGGCNACGGUG